rnacentral:rRNA from 1 species
CCCGUAACGAGCGCAACCCUUGUCCUUAGUUACCAGCACGUUAUGGUGGGCACUCUAAGGAGACUGCCGGGGACAAACCGGAGGAAGGUGGGGAUGACGUCAAGUCAUCAUGGCCCUUACGGCCUGGGCUACACACGUGCUACAAUGGUCGGUACAGAGGGUCGCCAAGCCGCGAGGUGGAGCUAAUCUCACAAAACCGAUCGUAGUCCGGAUCGCAGUCUGCAACUCGACU